UUUCUGGCCUUGGAAUAAAGUUACUGCAGUUUAUAAUAAUCUGGUUCUUUCUGUCUUCCAGUGGAAAAGUAGGGCUGAAAAGUUCUUGUUGUUCAUAAAAACGACUCCUGGUCGAGUUUUCCAUCGAUGUAAAUCCAAAGCUACAGAAGUCGUAAGUUUCUGGUUUGACGUGAUGAUGACUCCAGUUCACGUUGUUCUUCGACUGAUAGAGAAAUUUAUGAUGAAAAAUCCCCUGAAGGAGGUGAAACAGGAACUGGAGAAGCAGAAACAUCAACUGAUGGCAGAAUUAAAUCAAAUUGAGGCUGAAAGGAAGAACAACAGAAAAUAUCUUCAGUCUGUAGAGGAAUUAAUGUCCCAGAGAAACGAUUCUGAUCAUGAGAUGUUGUUAAUGAACAAAGAAAAGCUUUUACAGUCUCAGUGGAAACUGGAUGAACAGAAGAAACUAUGUGAAAAACAAAUAUUAAACAUAGAAAAGAGCCUGGAA